AGUGAACGCUGGCGGUAGGCCUAACACAUGCAAGUCGAACGGCAGCACAGUAAGAGCUUGCUCUUACGGGUGGCGAGUGGCGGACGGUUGAGGAAUACAUCGGAAUCUACUUUUUCGUGGGGGCUAACGUAGGGAAACUUACGCUAAUACCGCAUACGACCUACGGGUGAAAGCAGGGGAUCUUCGGACCUUGCGCGAUUCAAUGAGCCGAUGUCGGAUUAGCUAGUUGGCGGGGUAAAGGCCCACCAAGGCGACGAUCCGUAGCUGGUCUGAGAGGAUGAUCAGCCACACUGGAACUGAGACACGGUCCAGACUCCUACGGGAGGCAGCAGUGGGGAAUAUUGGACAAUGGGCGCAAGCCUGAUCCAGCCAUACCGCGUGGGUGAAGAAGGCCUUCGGGUUGUAAAGCACUUUUGUUGGGAAAGAAAGGCAGCAGGUUAAUACCCCGCUGUUCUGACGGUACCAAAAGAAUAAGCACCGGCUAACUUCGUG
rnacentral:rRNA from 1 species